rnacentral:rRNA from 1 species
GAUGAACGCUGGCGGCGUGCCUAAUACAUGCAAGUCGAGCGAACGGACGAGAAGCUUGCUUCUCUGAUGUUAGCGGCGGACGGGUGAGUAACACGUGUAUAACCUACCUUUAAGACUGGGAUAACUUCGGGAAACCGGAGCUAAUACCGGAUAAGAUUUUGAACCGCAUGGUUCAAAAGUGAAAGACGGUCUUGCUGUCACUUAUAGAUGGAUCCGCGCUGCAUUAGCUAGUUGGUAAGGUAACGGCUUACCAAGGCAACGAUGCAUAGCCGACCUGAGAGGGUGAUCGGCCACACUGGAACUGAGACACGGUCCAGACUCCUACGGGAAGCAGCAGUAGGGAAUCUUCCGCAAUGGGCGAAAGCCUGACGGAGCAACGCCGCGUGAGUGAUGAAGGUCUUCGGAUCGUAAAACUCUGUUAUUAGGGAAGAACAUAUGUGUAAGUAACUGUGCACAUCUUGACGGUACCUAAUCAGAAAGCCACGGCUAACUACGUG